AGGGGGGAGGGAGGGAGAGAGAGAGAGCCAGGGGAGAGGGAGGGAGAGAGAAGGGGUGGUGCGGCAAAGGAAAAGUUGGUCGGGUGUUGGAGAUAGAGAGAGAGGGGAGAGGGAUGGAGGAAGGGAGAGGAGAGGAGAAAGGGAGAGGGGACAAAAGACAAGAGAAGUGCAGUGGAAAGAGAAGCGAAUGGAUAGAUAGAAAGGGGGUGUGGAGAGGAGACAUAAGAGAAUGAUAGAUAGAGGGGGUGUGGAGAGGAGACAUAAGAGAAUGAUAGAUAGAGGGGGGGUGUGGAGAGGAGACAUAAGAGAAUGAUAGAUAGAGAGGGGGUGUGGAGAGGAGACAUAAGAUAAUGAUAGAUAGAGAGGGGGUGGAGAGGAGACAGAAGAGAAUGAUAGAUAGAGAGGGGGUGUGGAGAGGAGACAUAAGAGAAUGAUAGAUAGAGAGGGGGUGUGGAGAGGAGACAGAAGAGAAUGAUGAUAGAGAGGGAGGGGGUGUGGAGAGGAGACAGAAGAGAAUGAUAGAUAGAGAGGGGGUGUGGAGAGGAGACAUAAGAGAAUGAUAGAUAGAGAGGGGGUGUGGAGAGGAGACAUAAGAUAAUGAUAGAUAGAGAGGGGGUGUGGAGAGGAGACAUAAGAGAAUGAUAGAUAGAGGGGGGGUGUGGAGAGGAGACAGAAGAAGAGGGGAGGACAAGGGGACAUUGGGUAUUACGUGGAGAACCGA
ensembl:lncRNA